CAGUCGCCGCGGUAAUACAGAGGGUGCGAGCGUUAAUCGGAUUUACUGGGCGUAAAGCGUGCGUAGGCUGCUUCUUAAGUCGGAUGUGAAAUCCCUGAGCUUAACUUAGGAAUUGCAUUCGAUACUGGGAAGCUAGAGUAUGGGAGAGGAUGGUAGAAUUCCAGGUGUAGCGGUGAAAUGCGUAGAGAUCUGGAGGAAUACCGAUGGCGAAGGCAGCCAUCUGGCCUAAUACUGACGCUGAGGUACGAAAGCAUGGGGAGCAAACAGGAUUAGAUACCCCCGUAGUCCCUGUCUCUUAUAC
rnacentral:rRNA from 1 species